rnacentral:tRNA from 1 species
GGGCGGUUAGCUCAGUGGGAGAGCACUUCCCUGACACGGAAGGGGUCACAAGUUCAAAUCUUGUACCGCCCA